AGUGAACGCUGGCGGCAGGCCUAACACAUGCAAGUCGAACGGCAGCACAAGAGAGCUUGCUCUCUGGGGGGCGAGUGGCGGACGGGUGAGGAAUGCAUCGGAAUCUGCCCAUUUGUGGGGGAUAACCUCGGGAAACCGGGACUAAUACCGCAUACGACCUACGGGUGAAAGCAGGGGAUCUUCGGACCUUGCGCAGAUGGAUGAGCCGAUGCCGGAUUAGCUAGUUGGAGGGGUAAAGGCCCACCAAGGCGACGAGCCGUAGCUGGUCUGAGAGGAUGAUCAGCCACACUGGAACUGGGACACGGCCCAUACUCCUACGGGAGGCAGCAGUGGGGAAUGUUGGACAAUGGGCGCAAGCCUGAUCCAGCCAUGCCGCGUGUGUGAAGACGGCCUUCGGGUUGUAAAGCACUUUUGUUGGGAAAGAAAAGCAGCCGGUUAAUACCCGGUUGUCAUGACGGUACCCAAAGAAUAAGCACCGGCUAACUUCGUG
rnacentral:rRNA from 1 species